rnacentral:misc_RNA from 1 species
UGAAACACCUAAGAUGUCAGCCAACAAAAAGUGAUACAAUCACCAGCAAAAAGCUUGAUUUGAGGAACUAGAUUUGCAUUUUAUGUUCUUGCAUCCAGCCAAGAUAUCAAGAAAAAGGAGCUUGGGAACAACUUGGGUUUCUCCGCCUCUACUUCAACAUUGAUUUUCUGAGCAAAAAACAACAUAUCUAUCGACUAUGAAGAAUCUUUUAAUCACCCACAAAAGAAGGAAAAAGAGACCAAUAUUUGAAAAAACCAACGAACACAUCCUGGGUGGUGGCGAGAAG